GUAUAAGUAGUUUAUGAAUAAAACGUUAAUUUGUGGUGUUAAAAAUACUUGGUUAAAGUCUUGUACA
rnacentral:tRNA from 1 species